rnacentral:lncRNA from 1 species
AUAGCUAAAGAUAAUUUGUGCUACAAUUAUCCUGCCUUCCUGCUAGGUCCUAGGCAGACGAACAAUCCCAGGAAAAAUCUGAACCCUGGGUCUUCUGUACUUCACUACACCCAGACUGAUCUUCUGCCCUGCUCCUGGAAAUCCAAGGGCAAAAAAGGGUGUCCUGCUGCUCUCCAUACAUGAGAGAAGCCCUUGUUUAUAAGGAGCUGAUUAGUCAUUUGACAAAUUUCCAGGCAGAAUGAAAAGAAGUAUGAAAUAAGGAAUGUCAACAAAUUUCACAAGGCUUCAUGUUUGCAUCACUGAUGAAACAGAAAAAGAAAAGCAUAGCAUGAUAAGGACUAAAAGUGAGCAGAAGAGGGUGUGACUGUGAAGGAGGAAGAAAAUGAAGACUCGGACAUGAAUCAUGGGUGAUGGAGCUGACUCCGUUGGAACUGACUGCUGCUGCCAUUUUUCUGACAGGAUGAAAGAAGUCCAGAGUGUUCAAAGUAUCAGAGGAGGAAAACUUGUGGACUGGA